AGAGUUUGAUCCUGGCUCAGGAUGAAUGUUGGCGGUGUGCCUGAGAUAUGCAAGUCGAACGUCUUUUUGCCGCAAGGCAGAAGGUAGUGGCGGCGGCUGAGUAACACAUAGGGACUUACCCCUUUUUGAAGGAUAGCCCAUCGAAAGGUGGGAUAAUACUUCAUAGUAUGGAUACCGUAAGGUAUUUGUUAAAGAGAUUAACUUCUCGAAAAGAGAUGGACCUGUGGCUUAUCAGAUAGUUGGUGGGGUAACGGCCUACCAAGUCUACGACGAGUAGCUGGCCUGAGAAGGUGGUCAGCCAGAGGGGGACUGAGACACGGCCCCCACUCCUACGGGAGGCAGCAAUCAGGAAUAGUCGGCAAUGGACGAAAGUCUGACCGCGCGACGCCGCGUGCGGGAAGAAGCUCUUCGGAGUGUAAACCGCUGUGGUAGAGGAAGAAGUCCCGAUUUAAUCGGGAUUGACGGUACUCUACAAGAAAGGGGCCGCUAACUGCGUGCCAGAAGCGUCGGUAAGACGUGGGCCCCAAACGUUAUCCGGUUUUACUGGGCGUAAAGGGUCGUGUAGGCGGUCCGAUGAGUCUCUGUUUAAAUACUACAGCUUAACUGUAGGAAAGGCAAAGAUACUAUCGGACUUGAGUUUUCUUAAGGGAGACUGGAACUUAGGGAGGAGUAGUGAAAUGCGUUGAUACCCUAGGGAACACCAGUGGCGAAGGCGAGUCUCUGGAAGAUAACUGACGCUGAGACACGAAAGCUAGGGGAGCGAAGAAGCAGAUUAGAGACCUGCGUAGUCCUAGCCCUAAACGAAUGCUUGCUAGCUGCAUCCCUCCCGAUUCAUCGGGAUGGGUGUGGCGUAGGUAACCCGUUAAGCAAGCCGCCUGGGGAGUACGGCCGCAAGGUUGAAACUCAAAGGAAUUGGCGGGGAGGCACACAACCAGUGGAACAUGUGGUUCAAUUCGAAACGAACCGAAAAACCUCACCAGGGUUUGACAUCCCGACGUACUAUUUUCUGGAAACAGANNNAUGAUUCGCAAGAAGGCUUUCACAGGUGCUGCAUGGCUGUCGUCAGCUCGUUCCGUGAGGAGUGCCCUUAAGUGGGACAACGAGCGCAACCCUUGUCUUGUGUUAAAUCUAUCACAAGAGACUGCCCUGACUUUGUCAGGGAGGAAGGAGAGGCAGACGUCAAGUCAGCAUGGUCCUUAUACCCUGGGCUACACACAUGUUACAAUGGGAAGAACAACGAGUAUUGCCAGACGGCAACGUUGAGCAAAUCUCUUAAAUCUUCCCUCAGUGGGGAUUGAGGUCUGCAACCCGACCUCAUGAACGCGGAAUUGGUAGUAAUCGCAGAUCAGCUACGCUGCGGUGAAUACGUUC
rnacentral:rRNA from 1 species